UGCAGUCGAGCGAAUUGAUCGGAGCUUGCUCCGUGAUGUUAGCGGCGGACGGGUGAGUAACACGUGGGUAACCUGCCUGGCAGACUGGGAUAACAUUCGGAAACGAAUGCUAAUACCGGAUAUUCUUUUGGACCGCAUGGUCCGAAAGGGAAAGAGGCUAUCGCCUCACUGUCAGAUGGACCCGCGGCGCAUUAGCUAGUUGGUGAGGUAACGGCUCACCAAGGCGACGAUGCGUAGCCGACCUGAGAGGGUGAUCGGCCACACUGGAACUGAGACACGGUCCAGACUCCUACGGGAGGCAGCAGUGGGGAAUAUUGCACAAUGGGGGAAACCCUUGAUGCAGCAACGCCGCGUGAGCGAUGAAGGCCUUCGGGUCGUAAAGCUCUGUCCUAAGGGAAGAAUUUUGACGGUACCUUAGGAGGAAGCCCCGGCUAACUACGUGCCAGCAGCCGCGGUAAUACGUAGGGGGCAAGCGUUAUCCGGAAUCACUGGGCGUAAAGGGUGCGUAGGCGGUCUUACAAGUCAGGGGUGAAAGGCUACGGCUCAACCGUAGUAAGCCUUUGAAACUGUAGGACUUGAGUGCAGGAGAGGAAAGUGGAAUUCCUAGUGUAGCGGUGAAAUGCGUAGAUAUUAGGAGGAACACCAGUGGCGAAGGCGACUUUCUGGACUGUAACUGACGCUGAGGCACGAAAGUGUGGGGAGCAAACAGGAUUAGAUACCCUGGUAGUCCACGCCGUAAACGAUGAGUGCUAGGUGUUAGGGGGUUUCCGCCCCUUAGUGCUGCAGUUAACGCAUUAAGCACUCCGCCUGGGGAGUACGGCCGCAAGGCUGAAACUCAAAAGAAUUGACGGGGACCCGCAUAAGCAGCGGAGCAUGUGGGUUUAAUUCGAAGCAACGCGAAGAAACCUUACCUGGACUUGACAUCCUUCAGACCACUCCUUAAAUCGGAGUCUUCCCUUCGGGGACUGAAGAGACAGGUGGUGGCAUGGGUUGUCGUCCAGCUCGUGUCGUGAAGAUGUUUGGGGUUAAGUCCCCGCAACGAAGCGCAACCCUUGCCUUUAGUUGCCAGCAGUUUUGGCUGGGCACUCUAGAGGGACUGCCGGGGAUAACUCGGAGGAAGGUGGGGAUGACGUCAAAUCAUCAUGCCCCUUAUGUUCAGGGCUACACACGUGCUACAAUGGCCGAUACAAAGGGCUGCGAAGGAGUAAUCUGGAGCCAAUCCCAUAAAGUCGGUCCCAGUUCGGAUUGUGGGCUGAAACUCGCCCACAUGAAGUUGGAGUUGCUAGUAAUCGCACAUCAGCCAUGGUGCGGUGAAUACGUUCCCGGGCCUUGUACACACCGCCCGUCAAGCCAUGGAAGUUGGAGGUACCUGAAGUCGAUUGCCAAUUAAGGCGUGCCUAG
rnacentral:rRNA from 1 species